GAUGAACGCUAGCGGCAGGCUUAAUACAUGCAAGUCGAGGGGCAGCACGAAUAGCAAUAUUUGGUGGCGACCGGCGCACGGGUGCGUAACACGUAUACAACCUACCUAUAACAGGGGGAUAGCCUUUCGAAAGAGAGAUUAAUACCCCCGUAAUAAAUUGAGUGGCAUCACUUGAUUUUGAAAGCUACGGCGGUUAUAGAUGGGUAUGCGUCUGAUUAGCUAGUUGGUGAGGUAACGGCUCACCAAGGCGACGAUCAGUAGGGGAUCUGAGAGGACUAACCCCCACACUGGUACUGAGACACGGACCAGACUCCUACGGGAGGCAGCAGUAAGGAUAUGGUCAAUGGAGGCAACUCUGAACCAGCCAUGCCGCGUGCAGGAUGACGGCCCUAUGGGUUGUAAACUGCUUUUGUACCAGAGAAAACCUACUCACGUGUGAGUAGCUGAUAGUAUGGUAAGAAUAAGCAUCGGCUAACUUCG
rnacentral:rRNA from 1 species